UGGCGGCGUGCCUAAUACAUGCAAGUCGAGCGGAUCGAUGGGAGCUUGCUCCCUGAGAUCAGCGGCGGACGGGUGAGUAACACGUGGGUAACCUGCCUGUAAGACUGGGAUAACUCCGGGAAACCGGGGCUAAUACCGGAUAACACCUACCCCCGCAUGGGGGAAGGUUGAAAGGUGGCUUCGGCUAUCACUUACAGAUGGACCCGCGGCGCAUUAGCUAGUUGGUGAGGUAACGGCUCACCAAGGCGACGAUGCGUAGCCGACCUGAGAGGGUGAUCGGCCACACUGGGACUGAGACACGGCCCAGACUCCUACGGGAGGCAGCAGUAGGGAAUCUUCCGCAAUGGACGAAAGUCUGACGGAGCAACGCCGCGUGAGUGAAGAAGGUUUUCGGAUCGUAAAACUCUGUUGUUAGGGAAGAACAAGUGCCGUUCGAAUAGGGCGGCACCUUGACGGUACCUAACCAGAAAGCCACGGCUAACUACG
rnacentral:rRNA from 1 species